GCCGCCGUAGCUCAGCCCGGUGGAGCGCCGGCCUUGUAAGCGUUUUGAGUAGGCCCGUCGAGAAAGCCGGUGGACGCGGGUUCAAAUCCCGCCGGCGGCU
rnacentral:tRNA from 1 species